rnacentral:rRNA from 1 species
CCUACGGGAGGCUGCAGUGGGGAAUAUUGGACAAUGGGGGGAACCCUGAUCCAGCCAUGCCGCGUGUGUGAAGAAGGCCCUCGGGUUGUAAAGCACUUUCAGUGAGGAAGAACGCCUGGUGGUUAAUACCCAUCAGGAAAGACAUCACUCACAGAAGAAGCACCGGCUAACUCCGUGCCAGCAGCCGCGGGAAUACGGAGGGUGCGAGCGUUAAUCGGAAUUACUGGGCGUAAAGCGCGCGUAGGUGGCUUGAUAAGCCGGUUGUGAAAGCCCCGGGCUCAACCUGGGAACGGCAUCCGGAACUGUCAAGCUAGAGUGCAGGAGAGGAAGGUAGAAUUCCCGGUGUAGCGGUGAAAUGCGUAGAGAUCGGGAGGAAUACCAGUGGCGAAGGCGGCCUUCUGGACUGACACUGACACUGAGGUGCGAAAGCGUGGGUAGCAAACAGGAUUAGAUACCCGUGUAGUC